rnacentral:rRNA from 1 species
CCUACGGGAGACAGCAGUGGGGAAUAUUGGACAAUGGGGGGAACCCUGAUCCAGCGACGCCGCGUGAGUGAAGAAGUAUUUCGGUAUGUAAAGCUCUAUCAGCAGGGAAGAAAGAAAUGACGGUACCUGACUAAUAAGCCCCGGCUAACUACGUGCCAGCAGCCGCGGUAAUACGUAGGGGGCAAGCGUUAUCCGGAUUUACUGGGUGUAAAGGGAGCGUAGACGGCGAUGCAAGUCUGAAGUGAAAGGCGGGGGCCCAACCCCCGGACUGCUUUGGAAACUGUAUGGCUGGAGUGCAGGAGAGGUAAGUGGAAUUCCUAGUGUAGCGGUGAAAUGCGUAGAUAUUAGGAGGAACACCAGUGGCGAAGGCGGCUUACUGGACAGUAACUGACGUUGAGGCUCGAAAGCGUGGGGAGCAAACAGGAUUAGAUACCCCGGUAGUC